rnacentral:rRNA from 1 species
UCCGUAGGCGGUGUGGCAAGUCGGUAGUGAAAUCUCUCGGCUUAACUGAGAGGCUGCUGCCGAAACUGCCAUGCUCGAGUGCGAGAGAGGCGAGUGGAAUUGCGGGUGUAGCGGUGAAAUGCGUAGAUAUCCGCAGGAACAUCCGAGGCGAAAGCGGCUCGCUGGAUCGCAACUGACGCUGAGGGACGAAAGCUAGGGGAGCAAACAGGAUUAGAUACCCUGGUAGUCCUAGCCCUAAACCAUCAGGACUUGGGGUUUGCCCUGUACGGGGCAAGUCCCGGAGCGUAACGCGUUAAGUCCUGCGCCUGGGGAGUACGGUCGCAAGGCUGAA